AAUAUCAUCUGUCAAGAAAAAUGCAGAGUUCUCAAGAGCUUCUGCUGCUGUCUUUUAAAGAAAACAUAGCUAGACAAAGUAGCUCAGCAUUUAAUACACUGAAAAUUAAACCCCUGCUAACGCCAAAGUAGGGGGCAUUAGAAAGUCCUAACUAAGUGUUCGUUCAGUUCUGAAAGAGUGAAUAGAUAAUCUGCAAUUCCUCUAGUAGUUACUGUCUGAAAUUGAUGAUGACUGUGAAGUUCUCUCCUGGUGCACUCAGCAGCGUUUGCCUUCUGACAGGUCUGAAGUAUUCUCAGUCUAAGAAGUAUUUAGAAUAUAUCACUGAAUGUCCUCCAACUUCGUGAGAUUUUAAUAAUUGAGAAGAACUAUGCAACAACUGCGAAACACCAGUUUUUACAUCAAGUUUUUCCUUAAAUACCAUCUAUUUGAAUAUUGGCUUUCCUGAAACUUAAUGAUUUAGAUUUAAUACACUUCAAAGGCAGUUGAACAAAAAUGAUGAAUUCAUGAGAUAGUUCAUUGCCCUUCUAGAAUGAGAAUUGAAUUGUCAUGUUUGUCAGGAGUUUAAAAAUAGGAUAUGUUUUUUCUCUUUAGGUGACAAAACUUUAAAAAUCACAAUGUGACAGGGACAGUUCUUCUGAUGCUUAAGAUCUGCUCACCUUUGCUGUAGAGAGAAUAAUGCUCCUUUCUGCUUAGUUUGAGGUAUAAUUUGGUUUUGGAAUCACCAUCAAAUCUGGCAGGUGUAUUCAUCAAUUUCUUGAACUUCUUACAUGGCUGUGUUUGAAUUUCAAAGCCUUUCCUGUUAAAUUGUAAUUUUAGAGUAUGUUCACAAUCAGCACAUUUUGGAUUCACCACCAAAAAUAAGCUCCACAGGUUGGACCAAAUUACACAGCGCAGACCUUGGCAGCUGCCCAUCAUCUUACAUUACCAAGUUUUAAAGACAUUUGUCUUGACUGCAAAAUAAUUCUCUCUUAUGCAGCCAGAAUUAAAUUGUUUCCCUUAUAGUUAAGUAGCACAGAAUAGCCUUCAAUACAACUUCUAACAUUAAAAUUAGAAUCACUAAGAGAAUAAACCAAAUUCUCUUAUGAAAGAUGAAACAAACUAAUUCAAAUGCAGCAGUCAUUGGGGGUUUCAUUAAACAAUCGAUCAAUUGCUGGGAAGUUUUGAUUCUUGCUGAAAAGAGUGCUGACCUGAAUGCUGAGUUCCCUCACUAAUUUGGCUUUGACAUUUCUACACACAACUGUAUGCCUCUUUUAGCAUAGCUAGUAAAAGUAUCUGUUAAAUGCUAGUGAAUAUACUGGAAUGUUUAUAAAUCCUGCAAUUCACAUAAGCAUAUGUGAAUCAUAGAAUCAUAAAAUCAGCUGGGUUGGAAAAGACCUUUAAGAUCAAGUUCAGCUGUUACACCAGGACUGCCAAGGCCAUGUCACUGAGGACCUCAUCUACGCAGUGAAGAGUGCAUAGCAUUUCAGAAUACCUCACCAAAAGCUGGCAUUCCUCAUAGAGAGAAAUCUUUUGACUUCUGAGGUAUGUCCCAAUACUUUUUAUAUCAUGAAGCACUAUGCUAGGUCUGGAUUUUGUCUGUGUGGGGUUCACGUCUUCUAUCCACUUGAAAAAUGAACACUGCUCAGCUUUGGGGGCAUCACAGGUAUAGAAUAAAUGACUCUGCAUGGUGUUAUACCGACCUGUCAGAGCAGCUUUAAAAAUCUGUUUGUACUGAACGUGAGACUGAAACAUGGCUGGUAUGAAAGUCUUCCUUUUAGGAAGGUUUGCAUGUUUUACUUUAUCCACGUGAGGAAAAGACAACUCACAAAUUGAUAUAUCCUAAAAACCAGAAAAAUACCAUUACAACUUGCAAAACCCUGAAUGAGAUAAACGUUGAUAAAUGGCUACUUUGCAGAUGUGCCAAAACCUAUCCAUAUUUCUCCUCUUU